AUGCGUUGUUGGGUAGGGGAGCGUUCUGUAAGCCUGUGAAGGUGUGCUGUGAGGCAUGCUGGAGGUAUCAGAAGUGCGAAUGCUGACAUAAGUAACGAUAAAGCGGGUGAAAAGCCCGCUCGCCGGAAGACCAAGGGUUCCUGUCCAACGUUAAUCGGGGCAGGGUGAGUCGACCCCUAAGGCGAGGCCGAAAGGCGUAGUCGAUGGGAAACAGGUUAAUAUUCCUGUACUUGGUGUUACUGCGAAGGGGGGACGGAGAAGGCUAUGUUGGCCGGGCGACGGUUGUCCCGGUUUAAGCGUGUAGGCUGGUUUUCCAGGCAAAUCCGGAAAAUCAAGGCUGAGGCGUGAUGACGAGGCACUACGGUGCUGAAGCAACAAAUGCCCUGCUUCCAGGAAAAGCCUCUAAGCAUCAGGUAACAUCAAAUCGUACCCCAAACCGACACAGGUGGUCAGGUAGAGAAUACCAAGGCGCUUGAGAGAACUCGGGUGAAGGAACUAGGCAAAAUGGUGCCGUAACUUCGGGAGAAGGCACGCUGAUAUGUAGGUGAAGUCCCUCGCGGAUGGAGCUGAAAUCAGUCGAAGAUACCAGCUGGCUGCAACUGUUUAUUAAAAACACAGCACUGUGCAAACACGAAAGUGGACGUAUACGGUGUGACGCCUGCCCGGUGCCGGAAGGUUAAUUGAUGGGGUUAGCGCAAGCGAAGCUCUUGAUCGAAGCCCCGGUAAACGGCGGCCGUAACUAUAACGGUCCUAAGGUAGCGAAAUUCCUUGUCGGGUAAGUUCCGACCUGCACGAAUGGCGUAAUGAUGGCCAGGCUGUCUCCACCCGAGACUCAGUGAAAUUGAACUCGCUGUGAAGAUGCAGUGUACCCGCGGCAAGACGGAAAGACCCCGUGAACCUUUACUAUAGCUUGACACUGAACAUUGAGCCUUGAUGUGUAGGAUAGGUGGGAGGCUUUGAAGUGUGGACGCCAGUCUGCAUGGAGCCGACCUUGAAAUACCACCCUUUAAUGUUUGAUGUUCUAACGUUGACCCGUAAUCCGGGUUGCGGACAGUGUCUGGUGGGUAGUUUGACUGGGGCGGUCUCCUCCUAAAGAGUAACGGAGGAGCACGAAGGUUGGCUAAUCCUGGUCGGACAUCAGGAGGUUAGUGCAAUGGCAUAAGCCAGCUUGACUGCGAGCGUGACGGCGCGAGCAGGUGCGAAAGCAGGUCAUAGUGAUCCGGUGGUUCUGAAUGGAAGGGCCAUCGCUCAACGGAUAAAAGGUACUCCGGGGAUAACAGGCUGAUACCGCCCAAGAGUUCAUAUCGACGGCGGUGUUUGGCACCUCGAUGUCGGCUCAUCACAUCCUGGGGCUGAAGUAGGUCCCAAGGGUAUGGCUGUUCGCCAUUUAAAGUGGUACGCGAGCUGGGUUUAGAACGUCGUGAGACAGUUCGGUCCCUAUCUGCCGUGGGCGCUGGAGAACUGAGGGGGGCUGCUCCUAGUACGAGAGGACCGGAGUGGACGCAUCACUGGUGUUCGGGUUGUCAUGCCAAUGGCACUGCCCGGUAGCUAAAUGCGGAAGAGAUAAGUGCUGAAAGCAUCUAAGCACGAAACUUGCCCCGAGAUGAGUUCUCCCUGACUCCUUGAGAGUCCUGAAGGAACGUUGAAGACGACGACGUUGAUAGGCCGGGUGUGUAAGCGCAGCGAUGCGUUGAGCUAACCGGUACUAAUGAACCGUGAGG
rnacentral:rRNA from 1 species